rnacentral:rRNA from 1 species
UCAGGACGAACGCUGGCGGCGUGCCUAACACAUGCAAGUCGAACGAAGCACUCGGAGCUUGCUUGAGUGACUAGUGGCGGACGGGUGAGUAAUGUAUGAGCAACCUGCCCUUCAUGGGGGACAACAGUUGGAAACGACUGCUAAUACCGCAUGACGUAUCCGGGAGGCAUCUUUUGGAUACCAAAGAUUUAUCGCUGAAGGAUGGGCUCAUAUCUGAUUAGCUUGUUGGCGGGGUAACGGCCCACCAAGGCGACGAUCAGUAGCCGGACUGAGAGGUUGAACGGCCACAUUGGGACUGAGAUACGGCCCAGACUCCUACGGGAGGCAGCAGUGGGGAAUGUUGCACAAUGGGCGAAAGCCUGAUGCCAGCGACGCCGCGUGAACGAAGAAGUAUUUCGGUAUGUAAAGUUCUAUCAGCAGGGAAGAAAAAUGACGGUACCUGACUAAGAAGCUCCGGCUAAAUACGUGCCAGCAGCUGC